rnacentral:rRNA from 1 species
UACCAGCACCCCGAGUGGUCGGGACGUUUAUUGGGCCUAAAGCAUCCGUAGCCGGUUCUACAAGUCUUCCGUUAAAUCCAGCUGCUUAACAGAUGGGUUGCGGAAGAUACUAUGGAGCUAGGAGGCGGGAGAGGCAAGCGGUACUCGAUGGGUAGGGGUAAAAUCCGUUGAUCCAUUGAAGACCACCAGUGGCGAAGGCGGCUCACUGGACCGGUAUUGACGCUGAGGUGCGAAAGCGUGGGGAGCAAACAGG